AGGGAGGGAGGGAGGGAGGGAGGGAGGGAGGGAGGGAGGAUCAUGUCAUGGUGUCAUAGCUGUCACACAGGUGAUGUCACAGGAGUGUGUCAGUCGGCGUGUAUGAGAGUCUGAGGUUCUGUUCACGUUGUCUCCCGGGCAGAGCAGGGAGCCGAUCAGAGGUUCUGUUCACGUUGUCUCCCGGGCAGAGCAGGGAGCUGAUCAGAGGUUCUGUUCACGUUGUCUCCCGGGCAGAGCAGGGAGCCGAUCAGAGGUUCUGUUCACGUUGUCUCCCGGGCAGAGCAGGGAGCCGAUCAGAGGUUCUGUUCACGUUGUCUCCCGGGCAGAGCAGGGAGCUGAUCAGAGGUUCUGUUCACGUUGUCUCCCGGGCAGAGCAGGGAGCUGAUCAGAGGUUCUGUUCACGUUGUCUCCCGGGCAGAGCAGGGAGCCGAUCAGAGGUUCUGUUCACGUUGUCUCCCGGGCAGAGCAGGGAGCCGAUCAGAGGUUCUGUUCACGUUGUCUCCCGGGCAGAGCAGGGAGCUGAUCAGAGGUUCUGUCCACGUUGUCUCCCGGGCAGAGCAGGGAGCUGAUCAGAGGUUCUGUUCACGUUGUCUCCCGGGCAGAGCAGGGAGCUGAUCAGAGGUUCUGUUCACGUUGUCUCCCGGGCAGAGCAGGGAGCUGAUCAGAGGUUCUGUUCACGUUGUCUCCCGGGCAGAGCAGGGAGCUGAUCAGAGGUUCUGUUCACGUUGUCUCCCGGGCAGAGCAGGGAGCUGAUCAGAGGUUCUGUUCACGUUGUCUCCCGGGCAGAGCAGGGAGCUGAUCAGAGGUUCUGUUCACGUUGUCUCCCGGGCAGAGCAGGGAGCCGAUCAGAGGUUCUGUUCACGUUGUCUCCCGGGCAGAGCAGGGAGCCGAUCAGAGGUUCUGUUCACGUUGUCUCCCGGGCAGAGCAGGGAGCCGAUCAGAGGUUCUGUUCACGUUGUCUCCCGGGCAGAGCAGGGAGCCGAUCAGAGGUUCUGUUCACGUUGUCUCCCGGGCAGAGCAGGGAGCCGAUCAGAGGUUCUGUUCACGUUGUCUCCCGGGCAGAGCAGGGAGCCCAGCAGUAUAGACGAGGAGGAUCAGGAGGUGAAUCAGGAUAACAUCCUGGAAACAGCAGAGAGCUGGGGAGUGUGGCAGGCCGGAGGGGUCAGAGGUUAGAGGUCAGGCUGGAGUUCAGUAUCCUGUCAGUCUGGAGGGACUCCUUUUCGCUGAGGCCUUUUCUGGGCUCUGUGUGUGUGUGUGUGUGUGUGUGUGUGUGUGUGUGUGUGUGUGUGUGUGUGUGUGUGUGUGUGUGUGUGUGUGUGUGUGUGUGUGUGUGUGUGUGUGUGUGUGUGUGUGUGUGUGUGUGUGUGUGUGUGUGUGUGUGUGUGUGUGUGUGUGUGUGUGUGUGUGUGUGUGUGUGUGUGUGUGUGUGUGUGUGUGUUCAAUACCCUGUGGUGAUGUUGGUGAGUGUGUGUGUGUUUGAGCCCGGUGCAGUGAAGCUAUAGGCAGCGUAGGCCACAGCUGAUCCCAACAUCAACCCUGUCAUGUACGAUACAGUCAUAGUGUUAC